GGUUGUGGCUCAGUGGUAGAGUACUUGCCUAGCAUGCACAAGGCGCUGGGUUUGAUCCUCGGUACCA
rnacentral:tRNA from 1 species